rnacentral:lncRNA from 1 species
GGGGAAGAACGGCAGAGAAAGAAUUCUAUCAGAUAUUGGGAUGUAUUUAAAUCAAAAGAAUUCAGACUUGCAUUUCUGGCUGGAGCAGGACUUUAGGUAAGUCAUAUUUUUUUAACUUUUUUUUUUCUCUUUCCCUAGAAUUACAGUUAAUGUGGAUCACAUAACAGUCUAACUGUUCCUUGCUAGUGUAGUUGUUGUUCAACGUGCAUAGCUUGAUAUUAGGCGGUUUUCUUUUGUAUAACCAAUUAACGUUGAAUGUAUCUGAAACAAAAAACAUUUGUUUUUUAUCUUGAGAAACAAAGUUAAAUUUUUCAGGGGCACAUCAUCAGUACGUACUUGUGUGCAUCCUUCGUUGAUUUCUUGGAAAACCAGGGAAUGACAAUCUUAAGUUGUGAAUACACGCGCAUGUAUAUACUUGUAUAUGUGUGUGUUGGGGGGCGGGAUAAUGAUUUUCACACUCCCAUUUUCUCUGAUUGCACACCAUGUUUUGUCUUUAUUAUAUAAAAUUACUCAAAUACCCUUGAAUACAUAAUUUCUAUAUUGCUUUACUCAAAGGUUUUAACCACAAUUGGAGAAUAGGGGAGUGUUAAAAUUAUCAUGUGUACAUAUAUUCGAUCACUAAUUUGCUAUAAAGUGCCAGAGUCAUUUGGUGACAAAAGCUUUCUGAUUUGCAGGCAUUUCAGCAGUUCACUGGUAUCAACACGGUCAUAUACUACAGCCCCACAAUUGUUCAGAUUGCUGGUUUCAGUUCGAACCAUUUAGCACUUCUCUUGUCACUGAUUGUUGCUGCAAUGAAUGCUGCUGGAACAGUGGUCGGAAUUUACCUCAUCGACCACUUUGGGUGGCGAAAGUUGGCCCUGAGUAGCUUAUCCGUGGUGAUUGUUGCACUUGUUCUCUCUGCAUCAUUCUUCCUUCAAACUUCUGGUUCUUCAACCAGACUCUACGGGUGGAUGGCGGUUUUAGGGUUAGCCCUGUACAUUGCUUUCUUUGCACCUGGAAUGGGACCCCUGCCUUGGAUUGUGAACUCGGAAAUAUAUCCAGAGUUGUAUCGAGGGUUUUGUGGGGGAAUAUCGGCGAACGUGAACUGGGUUUCAAAUCUCAUUGCCGCCCAGAGUUUUCUCUCGAUCACCGAAGCUUUGGACACCGGUGCUACCUUCUUGAUACUGGCGGGCAUGGUGGUUCUUGCGUUUGUCUUUGUGGCGGUGUUUGUGCCGGAGACCAAGGGCUUGACGUUUGAGGAAGUGAAGAGGAUUUAGAAGGUGAAGGCUUGUGGAAGUGGGUACUCUAGUGAACGCCUUCUUGAGCACGGGAAAGAGUUCUAAAGGUUAUGACUUCCUUCUUCUUUUGGUACAUUGCCAGUAUUUUGAAUGGCCUUUAAUGCAAUUAACAUCUAUUUAUAUGUAUUGGUUACUGAAGUGUGUGCUGAUAUAUUACUUUGGGAAUUAAGGUCGCUGCAAUGUUAAUAGUCAAGAUUUUUCAGUCUUAACAUACUUUGUGUCUCAAAUAUGUACUUCAGAUACAACAUCAGAUAUAUAGGCUGUGUUGAGUCCUAUGGAGAAACUAUAAUGUUCGGAAAGUGCGAUAUGCUCCUGCCACUAUGGGUUUCUGUAAGUAAUUUUUGUUGUUUUUGUUUUUGUUUUCAGAAUCUGCAUAUUGUAGCAAUAAAACUUGAACUGAGGUAUCGCGCUUCGUAUGAGAGCGCCUCAACAAUUAGGCUUCCGUUGGUAGUUUUAUCUUUGCUUGUUGAGAGGUUUUUGUGUUUCAAAACCAUUGUGCUAGGGUUAAAAUGGAGAACCUCUAGAGAUAUAUUUUUGGGUAAUGCUCGCGUACUUGUAACCCACAUGAUACUUUCCUGAACCAAAGGGUGAUAGGUGGUCCAUUAAAAACAAAUGGCUGCGCCCACUAAGAACAAAUAUUGAGUGUAACAGUAAUAUUAUCCUAUAUGCAAUCACAAGCUACUAAAUUAUCUGAAGUGUAACUGAGUCAAACAUUGUCUCCAGUAACCCAAAAUUAUUGUUCAUGGGUACUAAAAAAAUUAUUAUUAUAGGUACUAACAAAUGGCUAAGUUCACUAAGAAAGAAGAAAUAUUAAAUGCAACAGUAAAAAAACAAAAGAUUGUCGGUGUGAGUCUAUAUCUUAUAUCCAUUAACCCAAAAUUAUUAUGGUGAAUAUUGAAAAAUAAAAUUUUUUGUUGGACAAUAAUACAAUCACUCAAUAUCACCGCCGCUAUAUUUAAUAUUUACUCUCUUUUACGUGUCACUGCAAAAAUAAAAAAUAAGGAUUAAUGUGGCGUAGCUUUGUAGGUUGCAAUUACGUGAUGCGUCACAAAUGUGUGGACCCAGCCUCUGCCUCAUUUUACAUGUUUAAACUUGUCAGCUUUAUACAUUUAUUGUCUUUUUGGUCCAAUCGAAUUCUGUUUGGUUUUGGAUAAUUUAUAGGAUUGUCGUACACAUUAAGCAAUUGUUUUUAAAAGAUUUUGUGCUCACACCACAUAAAUAAG